rnacentral:rRNA from 1 species
CCUACGUGUGGCAGCAGUGGGGAAUAUUGGGCAAUGGGCGCAAGCCUGACCCAGCAACGCCGCGUGAAGGAAGAAGGCUUUCGGGUUGUAAACUUCUUUUGUCAGGGACGAAGCAAGUGACGGUACCUGACUAAUAAGCCACGGCUAACUACGUGACCGCAGCCGCGGUAAUACGUAGGUGGCAAUCGUUAUGCGGAUUUAUUGGGUGUAAAGGGCGUGUAGGGGGGCAUGCAAGUCAGAUGUGAAAACUAUGGGCUAAACCGAGAGACUGCAUUUGAAACUGUAUUUCUUGAGUGCUGGAGAGGCAAGCGGAAUUCCGUGUGUAGCGGUGAAAUGCGUAGAUAUAAGGAGGAACACCAGUGGCGAAGGCGGAUUGCUGGUCAGUAACUGACGCUGAGGCGCGAAAGCGUGGGGAGCAAACAGGAUUAGAUACCCUAGUAGUC